AAGGUCAAAGGUUUGAGCUCUCUAUCUCCUAAACCCCUGGAAGGAUUUUAAUGAAACUUGGGUCAAAUGGUCACCUCAUCUAGACGAUUUGCAGAAUUUAUGGGUCAGCCAAGGUCAAAGGUUUACACUUUCACUAUCCAUACCAGUGGUGGGGGAUUGAGCUGUCAUUCAGACUGCCUUGUUGAUGAUAUUUCUGGUCUGCCUAGUGGUUUUAACCUACGAAAAAAACAUUUUGCCGAAGGGCUUUUCUAUGAAUUUUAACCACAAAAUAAGCUACGUUAAUGUAUAGGGUUAUCAAUUUAGCGCAGACUGUAUAGUAAAGAAGUAUCGGAUAUAACGACACGUUAAUGAAUUAUUAGCAUUUAAAAAGGAAUUUCAAAUAAAGAAAAUUUGUGUGAAAGAGGAAAUUUUAAUCAAGGGACUUUUUUCAUCGCGUCAUCUUAAGGCAAAGUCAUGAUUUUAAUAUCCAAGAUAUUCUUUCUGUGUCUGCUUUCUGUACAUGUUAAAGCGCAUGUAAUAGGCUGCAUGUAUGGCUGCUUGACUUGCAGUCCAGGCUCCCGAAGUUGUGCAUCUUGCAAAAGAGGGUUUUAUGCGGUGAGAGAUGGGGCGUACAGUCAUUGCAGAAAAUGUCCAACAGAGUGCGCAUCAUGUUCUGACCCUAGAUAUUAUCCAACAAAUUACUGUACAGAAUGCAAAGACGGCUACUAUGGUGACACGUGUGGCCUUUCUUGUUCCAAAGGAUGUUAUCUGAGUAAAUGCCAAAGUAAUGGCACUUGUUACCGAAACAAAUGCAAACCAAAUUUCGAUGGAAACAAUUGUGAGCAAUGUUCUAGAGGACGAUUUGGAAAAGACUGCCAGUCUGCCUGUCCGGAUAAAUGUGUCUCAUGCUCUUCGGAAACGGUAUGUGCCAAAUGUAGAGAUGGAUUCUGGGGCGCUAUAUGCCAAAAUAAUUGUUCGCGUGGAUGUUUAGAAGGCAUCUGCUUGAUGACGUCUGGGGCAUGCCGGGACCAUGCAAAACUGGCUUUGUUGGAGUAAAGUGCGACAGAUGCACUUCCGGAAAACAAGGUUUAGACUGUCAUGUAAAUGAGACAAUGGUUGGUGUGCAAUAUAUGAAUGAAUGUGACACGACUUAUCAUCACUGUCUAACUUGUGCCGGAGUUCCUUACAACUGUGCUACGUGCCAGAAAGGUUACUACCUUGGCGAGAGGCGGGGCUUACUAUACGUGCAGCUCAUGUCCGCCUCAGUGUGAAGAAUGUGAACAUUAUUCGAUAUGUUCCACUUGUUACAUGAAAAAUCAUUACGGAGAAGAUUGCCAGAGUGUUUGCAGUAAAGGAUGUCUCAGUUCGACUUGCGACCAAUUAGCGGGUACAUGUCUAUGUAAAGAUAAUUAUGAGGGUGGACACUGUGACUACUGCGCGAAAGGAAAAUAUGGAUUUGACUCCAAUUGUACUAUGGAUUGUUCUGCUAAUUGUAACACAUGCAUUUCGGACAAAAAUUGCACAGAAUGCAAAGAUGGUUACUAUGGUAACACGUGUGAACUUUCCUGUUCCAGGAGGGUGUUAUUUGGGUAGAUGUAGUCAAAAUAAUGGCACAUGUUACCAAAACAGAUGUAAAUCCAAUUUUGAUGGAAUAAAUUGUACCGAAUGUUCCCUAGGACGAUUUGGAAAUGAAUGCAAGUCCAUAUGCCCUGACAAGUGUAUCUCUUGCUCUGCGAGAACAACAUGUGACAAAUGUAAAGAUGGAUACUGGGGAAAUGCAUGUGAACAUAAUUGCUCCCAUGGAUGUUUAGGUGGUGUUUGCUUGAAAGAAUCUGGGAUAUGUCAGAACAAGACAUGCAGAUCCGGCUUUUUUGGAGAAAUGUGCGACAGAUGCACUUCCGGUAGUCAAUCUUUAAACUGCAUAAACGAAACAAUGCUUGACCAAGACUCAUCCGCAAGUACAAUAGAUUUUCAAGUGUGUUUAUUAGUAGUUUUUGUGAUGUUCUGCUUCGUUGACGUUACAGGGAAGGUAUUAGAUAUGAUAUGAAACAUGUGUCAAACAAUGGACAUCUGGUCAUGAGCAAUUGACAGUAGAAAAGUAUUUCGAGAUAACUACAGAUAUGGUCAAAUGUUUUUCACUUUUCGGAAACACACAUUGUAUAAUCACACUAAGAAGUGUUAUGUAUAUGUAAUUUCCCCUAGGGCUAUAUUUUAUUGAUAACUUAUUGUUUACUGACCUAAUUUUGAGAUAUCAUGCAGAAUGUUUAUAUUCUAUGGUGUUCCAGAAAGUUCUACCACAAUACUGAUAAACAGGGUGUGACAAUUAUAUUUAAAUGCUCAUAAAGCCUUUGUUGAUAAUGUGGCUGCCACAGAUUUGUUAUGAACAUGUAAUAUAUUAAUUACUUGUUAAAUCCUAUUUUUAAUAGUUGUUUUCUCCAGUAUAUGUCGAAGGUUUGAAUAUUGAUUGUAACAGAUUUUGUUAUGAACAUGUAAUAUAUUAAUUACUUGUUAAAUCCUAUUUUUAAUAGUUGUUUUCUCCAGUAUAUGUCGAAGGUUUGAAUAUUGAUUGUAACAGAUUUUGUUAUGAACAUGUAAUAUAUCAAUUACUUGUUAAAUCCUAUUUUUAAUAGUUGUUUUCUCCAGUAUAUGUCGAAGGUUUGAAUAUUGAUUGACAUGGUAGAAAGUUUUAUUGAACCCAUUGUUUUUAAUUAUCUCCCUUUAUGGCUCUUACGCCAUUUGUUCAUAUGUAAUAAUGAAAGUAGUACUUUUCUAACCACGUAAUUACGCAUAACAUCUAUGUAGACACAUGAUUCAUCAGUUUUAACAUUAAAUUUAAAGCCUUAUGGACCUUUAAAGUCUGGAUUGUUCUUGGUUUUUCCAGGAUCUUCGUUUUAUUCUUGGUGAUACAUGAAAGUUCUGGAACCUUCCAUGAUAUUUAAAAUUAGGAGCUGUCUGAAGACAGGAUAGAACCUAGAAGUAAGAACUUAUCAAAAUCUUUCAUGUAUUUCUUAAUAACGAAAUAUUACCAGUUUGGAUAUUUACAUUUGAAGGCUUAUAUUAAAAUUGUGGAUUUUUAAACAAAAAUAUCUUUGAAGAGACGAUUUAUAUUCUUUGGACAUACUAAAUUCAGUUUGAAUUAGGAAACAAUUUAGAAUUAUUACUUCUUUGGAUUCAAAUUUGACCAGGGCUGGACUUGGACUAUUCUAGAUUGGAUUUUACGGUUAUUUGAUAUUUUUAAAGGUAUUUGAAUUGUUACUUUUAUGAAUAGAAUUUUGUUAUUGUUAACAGUUGCUGGUUUAUUUUUCUAUUACUUUUACUUAUUGUAACAAGCAAUUAUUGCCCUUUGACGUAACAUAAUGUAAUUAAUAUUCCAUUAUCUACUUUACUACUGAAAUAAAUUGACAUUAUCUAUAAAGAAGAUGAAAGGGAGGAUCAGAUCACAAUACUAAAAGUAACAUAGUUAAAGCGCUUUCGGUUUUGUGAACCGGAGACCAAGAAAAACGUCCUUCACUUGUUGCUUUAAUACAGAAUAUAUUAAUAAACAGAGGUUCUAUCAGCUAUACGGGAUUAAUAUUAUCUGUAAUGACUUACAGUGCCACAUUUUUAGACCAACCAAUUGUUUGAAAAUAUGAAAUAUUCUCUACACCAGGGUGAAACAUGCCUGUUAACUACUAUGUUUCGUCUACGAUUCUAUAUUUAAAAAAAUAGUAUAGUUAUAUGAUAUAAUUGUUAUGUUAAACAAAGGACAAAAGUACAAUUAAAGAUUUCGUCUUUACUCUGUGAAAUCAUUUUACGUUGGCUCCACGUUAGACCUGUCCAAUGUUUUUAUUUGUUUACAUAUUUAGAUAUGUAUUCUGUUUUACAAUUAAAAAACAAAUUAAUUAAAGGAACCGAAAAGAGGCUGAUUAGUCGAAAUAAAUCAUGCUUUGAUAAAGUCGAGGAAACUUGUGACAAAGCAAUCAAUCAAGAAAUUUUUUUAACUUAAUCUCAUUAACAACUCUAUUGCCCUAUCUCCGUUGUUAUUCAAUUACGUAGCACAAUUUCCUUUUCCAUGCAGGUUGUAAUCUAAAAUAAAAAGAAGUGGAAACCUAAUACUAUCCCCUUAAUACUGAGCGCCAAGCGAGGAAGCUACUAGUACCAGUCUUUGGUAUGACGCGGCCAGGGAUCAAACCCAUGACUUCCCACACCCGAAGUGGGCGCUCUACCACUAGGCUACUGAGGCGGUCGCGUACAUCCGGUAGGGAAGAUUUAAUGUUGGUUGAUGUUAUGAUGUUGUUCGAAGGUCUUUGUUGCAUUUGCACAGACUGCAGACCAGCAGGGUUAUAGCUGGUCCUGACGUCAAUUAUCUGAUACAGUUGCAUGUCAUUGUGACAUGUAAAGUUUCGUUUUGAUAGCAUUCUUACUAUACUUUGUGCUCAUAUAGGGCAGUUGGUCGUUUAUGUUCAUUUCAAUUAAAACUUAAUAAUUCAC
rnacentral:misc_RNA from 1 species